rnacentral:tRNA from 1 species
UCCCCUGUAGCUCAGUUGGUAGAGCGGGUGGCUGUUAACCACCAUGUCGUUGGUUCGAGUCCAGCCGGGGGAG